rnacentral:tRNA from 1 species
GCCCCGGUGGUGUAGUCCGGCCAAUCAUUUCGGAUUUUCGAUCCGAAGACCUGGGUUCAAAUCCCGGCCGGGGCG